UACGAAGGGUGCUAGCGUUGUUCGGAAUUACUGGGCGUAAAGCGCGCGUAGGCGGCUAUUCAAGUCAGGGGUGAAAUCCCGGAGCUUAACUCCGGAACUGCCUUUGAAACUGUAUAGCUGGAGUGUGUGAGGGGAUGGCGGAAUUCCUAAUGUAGAGGUGAAAUUCGUAGAUAUUAGGAGGAACACCGGUGGCGAAGGCGGCCAUCUGGCACACAACUGACGCUGAGGCGCGAAAGCGUGGGGAUCAAACAGG
rnacentral:rRNA from 1 species